UUGAAUUGGCCCUUGUGGUCUAAUUCCAUCCCAUACCUUUGUGAACUGUUUUGGUUACUUUGGCGGGGUCGCAGUGAUUGCGCCCGAAUUAGGGACUCCCCGCCAAGGGUUUUUUUCAAACCUGUUUUAAGAGUUAGAAAGUUAUUAUUCAAUUAUA
rnacentral:misc_RNA from 1 species